rnacentral:rRNA from 1 species
AUUGCCCUUAGGGCUCAGUAACACGUGGAUAACAUGCCCUAAGGUGGGGGAUAAUCUCGGGAAACUGAGGAUAAUACCCCAUAGGUCUGAUAUGCUGGAAUGCUUUCAGGCCGAAAACUCCGGUGCCUUAGGAUUGGUCUGCGGUCUAUCAGGCUGUAGUGGGUGUAACGGACCCACUAGCCCGUGACGGAUAUGGGCCUUGAGAGAGGGAGCCCAGAGAUGGACUCUGAGACAUGAGUCCAGGCCCUACGGGGCGCAGCAGUCGCGAAAACUUCGCAAUGGGGGCAACCCCGACGAGGGAAUUCCAAGUGCCAGCACUUUGUGUUGGCUGUUCUCCUGUCUAAAAAACAGGAGGAGUAAGGGGCGGGUAAGACGGGUGCCAGCCGCCGCGGUAAUACCCGCGCCCCUAGUGGUGGUCGAUAUUAUUGAGCCUAAAACGUCCGUAGCCGGUCUUCUAAAUCCUUGGGUAAAUCGGGCAGCUUAACUGUCCGAAGUCCGGGGAGACUGGAAGACUUGGGACCGGGAGAGGUCAGAGGUACUUCUGGGGUAGGGGUAAAAUCCUGUAAUCCUGGAAGGACCACCGGUGGCGAAGGCGUCUGACUAGAACGGAUCCGACGGUGAGGGACGAAGCCCUGGGGCGCAAACGGGAUUAGAUACCCGGGUAGUCCUGGCCGUAAACGCUGCGGGCUUGGUGUUGGGGGUCCUUAGUGGGCGCCCAGUGCCGGAGAGAAGUUGUUAAGCCUGCUGCUUGGGGAGUAUGUCCGCAAGGAUGAAACUUAAAGGAAUUGGCGGGGGAGCAC